rnacentral:rRNA from 1 species
UGGGCAACCUGCCCCUCUCUCUGGGAUAACCUCGGGAAACCGGAGCUAAUACCGGAUACUCCGGCUGGAUCGCAUGGUCCGGCCGGGAAAGGUCCGCCGGAGAGGGAUGGGCCCGCGGCCUAUCAGCUUGUUGGUGGGGUCAUGGCUCACCAAGGCGACGACGGGUAGCUGGUCUGAGAGGACGACCAACCACACUGGAACUGAGACACGGUCCAGACUCCGUACGGGAGGCA